GAUGAAGAACGUAGCGAAAUGCGAUAAGUAAUGUGAAUUGCAGAAUUCAGUGAAUCAUCGAAUCUUUGAACGCACAUUGCGCCCGCCAGUAUUCUGGCGGGCAUGCCUGUUCGAGCGUCAUUACAACCCUCAGGCCCCCGGGCCUGGCGUUGGGGAUCGGCGGAGCCCCCCGUGGGCACACGCCGUCCCCCAAAUGCAGUGGCGGUCCCGCCGCAGCUUCCAUCGCGUAGUAGCUAACACCUCGCGACUGGAGAGCGGCGCGGCCACGCCGUAAAACACCCAACUCUUCUGAAGUUGACCUCGAAUCAGGUAGGAAUACCCGCUGAACUUAAGUAUAUCAAUAAGCGGAGGA
rnacentral:misc_RNA from 1 species